rnacentral:rRNA from 1 species
AGAUGAGGUUUCAUUUGAGGUCCCCCAAAGACGAUGGGGUUGAUAGGCCAGACCUGGACGCACCGCAAGGUGUGAAGGCUACUGGUACUAAUAGACCAAAACAAACACACACACACCC